GGGGGAUAUUGGGCAAAGGGCGAAAGACCGAUCCAGCCAUGCCGCGGGGGUGGAGAAGGGCCUCGGAUUGUAAAGAACCUUAAGUUGGGGGGGAGGGCAGUAAGUUAAUACCUUGCUGUUUUGACGUUAACGACAGAAGAAGAACACGCUAACCUCGUGCCAGCAGCCGCGGUAAUACGAAGGGUGCAAGCGUUAAUCGGAAUUACUGGGCGUAAAGCGCGCGUAGGUGGUUCAGCAAGUUGGAUGUGAAAGCCCCGGGCUCAACCUGGGAACUGCAUCCAAAACUACUGAGCUAGAGUACGGUAGAGGGUGGUGGAAUUUCCUGUGUAGCGGUGAAAUGCGUAGAUAUAGGAAGGAACACCAGUGGCGAAGGCGACCACCUGGACUGAUACUGACACUGAGGUGCGAAAGCGUGGGGAGCAAACA
rnacentral:rRNA from 1 species